CAUAACAUUGCAGCGCCGGAUGACGUGAGGAGCGCAAGGCCUCACGGGAAGUGUAGUCCGAAUCGCAGCUCGCCUGUGGACCACGUGACGUGAACUUGCGCUGUGUUUAUCCAGGAGUCCGUGCUUUUUAAAGAAAAAAACAGAUGAAAGUGUCAAAAAUACAAGGCGACAGAACGCUGUCUGGUCUGCUGACUUCCUCCAGUAUCUUGUGUGUUGUUCCAGAUUCCAGCAUUUGCAAAUUUGUUCCCGGCAACUGGUCUACCAAUGCGGUGUGGAACACUACUGCUGGGUCACAGUAUGAAGACUUCUCUUCAGUUGUCAAUAGUGAAAAUGUGACAAGCCGUCAGCAUUGCUGUGUUGUUUGGAACCCUUGAGUGUUUAGCACCCAAUGUUGUAACCAGGUAGCAGUCAUCCCUGGAAUUCCCUUCCAGGGAUUGAAAAUGGACACAAGGGGCUGGUGAUCUGUCACUAGCAUAAACUUUUGUCUGUGGAAGUAGUAGUGGA